AGGCACCGGCGAGAUUCGAUAUCCUGUUUACUAGACAGGCGCUUUAACCAAAUAAGCCACGGCGCC